CUUCUCAGAAUGCUGUUGCUAGAGAUGGCAGUGUGGAGAGAGCUAGCCCCAACCCUCAACCCAUGCCCUUCUCUUCUCAGCCCAGGCUCCAUCUGCACCAUGAGGAGCAGUGUGUGUGUGUGUGGACACCUAGCCCAUAAGUGCAAGCUGUUGUCACCCACUCUCUCGUGAACUGUCACUCUCUGACACACCUAAAGGGAGAACAGAUGCAGGGAAGAGACCUGUGCAGGUAAUCCAGAUCUGAGCUCAGAGUGCUGUUCUGGAGUCUCUGUUACUCCAGUCUAGCCCUGUUGCACAGUGGUAUUGACACGAAGUCCUUGGAAACCACCAAUCAUUCUCCAGGGCCAUGAGUUGCUGAGGGAAUAUGAAAGACAGUGGAAUAGUACUCAAGGAAGAAGCCCAAGCCAUGAAAGUCCACCCAGAUGCAGCCUGCUGCUGGGCCUCUGCCUGCCACGCCCGUUCCUGCCUUGACCUUCCACACACUGGUCUCCAAGUCUCAAGUUCUCUACCACGCCUAUUCACUAUGGGAGGGGACUACACCAGGGUGCAAAUAUCAGGAGUGGAAACUUGCUGGGGGCCAGCUGACUGCCACAUCAGGCCAUCGUCACCAAGUCAGCCCCACCUCCGGAUUACUACAUGCCCAUUGCCUCUGCCUUCAGACCAGUGUUACUAGAAGGUUUGCAGCCUGAAGUUGCUCAUUUUAACACCACCAAAGCAAAGUCUGUAAAUUUAUUCUCAAAGAGGGAAAUGCCUUUCUCCCUCUAAAGGUAACCCCUCCGCUAUACCUACUGCUCCAUCCCUCCCCAGUUCAGUUCUUCUGAGGGAGCCUCGCUGCUAAGCAGAUUCAAUCCAGGGAAAACCCCUCUGCCUGCUCCUCACCUCUGCCCUGCCCUGUCUGUCUCACCGUUUGACUAACACCUCCCUUGACUCCCACAUUUCCUGGAGAACACCUGUUUGCCGUGGACUUUGGACAUUUCAUCUGACUCAACCCUCUGAUGUUUAUGUACUUUUAAUUUCUAUGACUUAACAUAGCUGACUCAUCGCUGCCUUGUGUGUGUUUUGCUUCCUUCUCUGAUUGGUGGUUCAACUGAUUCACACAGCCUGAUAUCAGGCGAAUGUGUCCUAGCAACUGCAGCUUGGCACGCUCCUCCAAUUUAUUUAUUUAUUUAUUUAUUUAUUUGGUGAGGAAGACUGGCUCUGAGCUAACAUCCAUGCCCAUCUUCCUCUACUUUCUAUGUGGGACGCCUACCACAGCAUGGCUCGCCAAGUGGUGCCAUGUCCACACCCGGGAUCCAAACCAGUGAACCCUGGGCCACCAAAGCGGAACUUGCGCAAUUAACGGCUGUGCCACCAGGCCGGCCCCCAGGAGAAUUUCUUGGUGUAGGAGCACUCUCCCAGGAUACAAGAGUUAGUAUCCUGGCAAGGACCAGGAGAUAAUGCAAAAUUGCUGCCAGGGGCCUCCUAGAAGCCUGGGAAAGUGAGGGCCAAUGAAAAGUGAGGUUGAAUUGUCUAAAUUUCUGGGGUCGACAGUAGAGGAAAGGAUUAAAAGACUCAGAAAAGUGGAUGAGCUGGAAUAGAUAUAUCAUGUUAGGCCAGAAGAUGCACCAGAGGAUUGGGCUCCACAGGAUGGCUCAGAGGAAUCACAUUCAUCAAAGCUCUCAGAAACAUACUGGUGAGAGGACACCAAUGUCACUAAGAAGUUCAGUCAUGCUUCCCCUGAAGGACAUAACUGAUGGAAGGAGGGCCUGUCCUGGAACCUGGCUCGCUAACACCAACAGGGAUGAUAGGCCCCUGAUGCAAUAGACACCAUGUAAUGGCCCUUCACGGCAGAAGCCAGGGGCUCGUAGCAACAAAGGCAGAGUGGCAGCCAGGGGGCCUGACCUGUAGAGAGCUGUAGAGACUGUGAAUAGAACAGAGUUUCCCUAGAAGGAAAACAGAUGUGUAGCAUACAAAAUACUGUUUAACAUAUGCAAUCUAAAGAGAACAAGAAUUGAUAAGCAGGACAAUGAGGAGGACAGUUACCCCAAUAAAAAGUCACAAUUCCUGUCCCGGUUUCCAUACUUGAACGAAUGUACAGACUCAGAACCAAGUAACUGAAGAGGUGGCCAGGUCCCCAGGGAGAAGAACCUGCAACACAAUGGCAAGAAUGAGCUAUGGUUGUUCCUCCAGUCCUUCCCCAAGGAGAUCUACAGCAUUUAUGGGGAUGACAGAACACUGGGCAGGGAGUACCCAGACAUUUUGGUGACUGUUGGGCACAAGGUCAGAGGUCGACUGAUACUCUGCCAACUGAAGCAUCUUCAUGACCCCCGUGUUAGAGUGGGAGCAAAUAGGUCCAUCUUACGACAGGUCCCCUGGGUCCAUGAAUGCACUGGUUGUCAUUCCUCUAGCUCCAAAAUGUAUAGUUGGCAUUGACGUACUUGGAAGUCGGGCUAACCCUCUAUUGCAUCCUUGUGAUCCUUCCGUACUGUGAUAGCUCUCACCUGUUAAUGUACCCAGCCUUUGUCAGAGCCCCCUCUCCCCUCACUGCUGUAUGAUGGGUGCCUGAACAAAGAGGCUAUGGUGGCAGAGAUGGAGGUGAUGUACGGACUGUCAUUUGCCCAAAUGAACACAGUUACUGCCACCUCUGAAUGUCCAAUCUACCAGCCAUAAAGACCAAUGCUAAGUUCUAUUCUUUAAGGAGACCAAUAGGCUACUUGGUGACCAGUUGACUACAUUGGGCCCCUUUUGUCCUGGACGGGCCAGCUGUUUGCUCUGACUGGAAUAGACAAUGAUUCUGGGUAUGGGGUUGCCUUUCCUGCCUGAAGGACCUCAAUAGCACCACUCUCUGGGGGCUUAAAGAUCGCCUGAUCCACAGACAUGGAAUCCCACAUAACAUAGCAUCUGACUAGAGGACUCUCUUGAUGGCACAGGAAAUGGGGGAGUGGUCCAUGAACAUGGGAUCCGCUGGUCAUAUCACACACCUCACCAACCAGGAGCUAUUGGAUAGAUAAAGUACUGGAAUGGCCAGUUAAAGAUGCAGCUCAAGCUCCAGCAUCAAGGCAGAACACUGCAGUGAUGACAUCUUCUCCAGGAUAUCAUCGGAUAUGUGGUCAAUCAGACAACUUAAUAUGGUACUGUGUCCCCAAGAGUAAGAAUACAUGAGUCCUGAAACAAUGGAUAGAAGCUUGAGUGGCCCCCAUUAGCAUCAUUCCAAUGACCCACUUGGUUCCCUGUCCCCACAACUCUGGGCUCUGCAGAGUUAGAGAUCUUAGUCUCCAAAAGGGGCACAUUCUCAACUGGAGCACAGCAAAGGUCCCAUUGGACAAUUUAUGGCUGCCACCAGGCACUUUGGCCUCCAAAUGGUCAGAGACUAGCAGGUAAAGCAAGGAAUCGCUGUGUUAUCAGAGGCAAAUUGACUUGGUCAGCAGGAGGAGUUUUCUUUCAGGAAGAGUGGCCCAUCAGAACUCUGAAGGAGCUGUUCCCUGAAUACGGAUGGAGAAAUUGAUCCACGUGGCACAAAGGGUGCACAAUAGCGGAUUCCUCAGGGCACCAAUGGGUUACUCAGAUCCUCCUUCAAGCCAGGCCUUGCUGCUCAUCUGCAAGGAGUAUGUUUAGCUGAUAGUCUCCAGCUUUAGCUCCUUCAGGAUCCGCCCCACGGUUUGAGCUGAAGUCACACAUUUCUUCAUGGCCGCCACCAAUGACCAAGCAAGGCAGGAGUACAAGGGCCUGGGCCUUUCUGCCCAAGGCUAGACUCCUGCUCCCCAUCGGGCUGGCAGAGACUUUGUCAAGUCUGCACCACCAUCUGACAGCUCACACAGAUCAGUCCUGCCUCUUCCGUUGACUUUCUCUGUUUUACGCUCCAGGAAAUCUUCUGUACUCUUAAUUCCAUAUCAGUAUCUGCUUCUCGGAGAAGCCAACCUGUGACAACACAAAUUUUAGUAUUUCCCCAAAUGUCUGCUUUUCCCUUCCCACAACCCCCUACAUGGUUUUACGUGGCCUUGAAUUGAUGGGAUUUUAUAACUCUAUUCCUAACCACUCUGGCCAAACCAUGCUCUUUCUUUUCUAAUCUCCUAUAAACCCACUGUAAUAUUCAACCACUGAUUCCCUUG
ensembl:lncRNA